UUUUUUUGUAUAAGACUCUAUUAGUUUGCCAUCAGAGCCACAAAGAUCCCUUUCUGCUCCCUAGCAGCUGCUCCUAUACAAUGUGGGUCUUUGAAAGUUUCACAGGGAACACAAGUACAGAGGGAUCAUUCGUUUGUCUGAAGAAAACCCUUAAUAAACAACGGGGUUUGUGAGAUUUUAUCUUGAGGUACUCAAUAAAAAUCCUUGUAAUGCAGAUAUAAAAGCUUGUUGAAGGGGUAGAUAGUUGACCCCUAUUUUUUCAUAAUCCAAAGAAAUACUUUUCCAAAUGCUUUCUCUGAGGUAAUGCUUGUUGCUUUCUCCAGCAUAUGUUGAGAAAUUUUCUUAACAGUGCCACAUCAAAUACAUGAAGAGUAGUUGUAUACAACCUUGAAAGUAUUGCCAAUAAUGGUUUUUCUCUUAACCACAGAUAAAUAUUGAUUAAGAGGAUUAAUUAAAUAAUAUUUUAGCAUUCAAUAAUUAUUAGGGAUAGGGUGAGAAUUGUUGAAAUGCCAGAACAACGAAGAGAAGACAAGAAGACAAGGGAAGAAAACUUCUCCUUUCAGAAACGUAGCUGUGAUUUAAACUCAGCACUCCUAAAACAAGCGAGCACAGAUCGGCCCCAGUUGGUGGAGGGAGUAAACCCUUGUAAAAUAUUUGUUUCCCAUGUUUAGUGUGUAUAUCCAUAUAGGCAAAACUUAAAUCCACAGCGGCAGAGCCGGAAAGAGAGAAGUUCUUAGAAAGGGCGUCUCCCCUAUUGUGACGUAUGCACCCAUUAAAUGUAGCGGGAAUUAAAUCAAUCGCUCAGAUCAAUUGAUGUAGUUUCAGUCAAAGAUUACAAUAUCGAGCAGUCAGGUGAGAGAAAACCUUCCCAAAGACACAGGUAGUAACAACAGCAACAGCAGCAGCAGAAGCAGCAGCAGCUUCCAAUUGUGUCUGUAAACAGCAACAAUGCAGCUUCUUUGCAUGUUCUACGUGGAAAUGCAUGGCAGUGCAUAGCAGUGCAUUAUUGUGGUGCGAUUUUCAGAGUAGCAGAAGGAAGAAUCUGACUCCAAACGCAAACAACAAACGGGAGUGGUGAACAGAUGUUGAUUGAGAUGAACGGGAACAUGUGAACAGAUGAACGGAUGAACGGCUGAAUAGGUGAACGGAUUGAAGAAAUGAACGAGUAAGCAGACAAAGAGGUAAGUCGAUGAACGAGUGGGUGGGUGGAUGAACGAACUGAAUAGGUGAACGGAUGAUCAGGUGAACAGAUAAAGUGGUGAACAAGUGAACACAUGAACGAUAAACAGAGUAAGCCAAUGGAUCUGGUGGAGACAGAAUCACACAUUAUCAUUGUAAAAAGUUGUUCCAUAAGAAAACCAAAUUCUUCAAUAACAGCAGAAAUAGCUUUAACAACAUCAUUAGAGAAACAACAACAACAACAACAACAACAACAACAACCACUAAAUUAAGAUACUACAUAAUAAUUAACGAGUCUUGCUUAAACGCUCGUUUAUUUGGUAAAUGGAGUGAGGUGGAGAUGGACAUAAAAUUGCUGUUAAUGGUUUUCUUGCUGCUAUUGUUGUUGUUGUUGUUGUUGUUGCCACAAAUUGUUGCCAUUGUUGUUCUUGCAGUUGUUGUUACCAUUAUUCAUGUUGUUGUUGUUGCUGUUACAGGUGCUGCUGUAAUUGUUGUUGUUGUUGUUGUUGUUAUUGAUACUGUUGUUCUACUAUUUUUUGCUAUUCUCUCUUUUACUCGUUUUACUUGUUUCAGUCAUUUUGACUGCGGCCAUGCUGGAGCACCGCCUUUAUAGUCGGGCAAAUCGACCCCAGGACUUAUUCUUUGUAAGCCUAGUACUUAUUCUAUUGAUCUCUUUUGCCGAACCGCUAAGUUACGGGGAUGUAAACACACCAGCAUCGGUUGUCAAGCGAUGCUGGGGGGACAAACAUAUACAUACUAACAUAUACACACACAUACAUAUAUAUGUAUAUAUAUUCUGUUAUUCUUUUACUUGUUUCUGUCAUUUGACUGUGGCAAUGCUGGAGCACCCCCUUUAGUCGAACAAAUCAACCCCAGGGCUUAUUAUCGGAAGUCUAAACACUUAUUCGAUCAGUCUCUUUUGUUGAACCGAUAAGUUACGGGGAUGUAAACACACCAACAUUGGUUGUCAAGUAAUGGUAGGGGGGACAAACACACACACGCAUAAACACACACACACACAUUUAUAUAUAUAUAUAUAUAUAUACGACGGGCUUCUUUCAGUUUCCAUCUACCAAAUCCAAUCACAAUGCUUUGGUCUGCCCAAGGUUAUAGUAGAAGAUACUUGCCCAAGGUGCCAUGCAGUGGGACUGAACCCGGAACCAUGUGGUUGUGAAGCAAGCUUCUUACUACACAGCCACUCCUUCACCUACACACACACAUAUAUAUAUAUGUGUGCGUGUGUGUGUGUGUGUAAAUAUAUAUAUGUAAAUAUAUGAAAUGUGGCAGUCUAAAAGUUUGAUAAUUAAUGCAUUAAUUACCAAACUUUUAAACUGUCAUGUUUCAUAUUUUUACAUAUAUUUUUAAUACAAUAUUAUUUUAAACAUAUAUAUCUUCAUGAAAAAUUUUUUGAUAUUAAUUUUCAUGCUAUUAUUUAGAAAUAUAAUAUAUAUAAUAGAUCAUAUUAAAUGUCUAAAUACUUCAUUGUAUUAAUAUUUUUGACACUUAUAUACAAAGAACACUCAUUUUAAAUUCAGUAUAUAAUAUUCUUACAGAAUAUAUUUAAUUAACAAUAUAUAUAUAUAUAUAUAUAUAUUAAAAGAGUAAAAGAAAGAGAAGUCAUGUUUCUUUGUAGCAAAUUGUGUAUAUGUAUGUGUGUAUGUGUAUAUAUUAUAUAUAUAUAUAAAGUUAAUCCAAACAUGAAAACACAAAGAGAAAACACAACACCGUGAGGACAUGGAACAAGUAUAGUAUUAUUGGAUGCUCAGGAAAGAAGGAAAGAAAGAGGGUUUAACGUUUCGAGCGGAGCUCUUCUUCAGAAACAUAGGAAAAGGAAAGAUCCAAAGGAGGGAAGACGGAGGAAAGAAAAUCGCCAACGGUACACACGCGGUCACAUAUGUAUAUAUAUAUAUAUCUAUAUAUUUUUUACUCUUUUACUUGUUUCAGUCAUUUGACUGCGGCCAUGCUGGAGCGCCACCUUUAGUCGAGCAAAUCGACCCCGGGACUUAUUCUUUGUAAGCCCAGUACUUAUUCUAUCGGUCUCUUUUGCCGAACCGCUAAGUAACGGGGACGUAAACACACCAGCAUCGGUUGUCAAGCAAUGCUAGAGGGACAAACAGACAAACAAACAUACACACACAUACAUAUAUACGACAGGCUUCUUUCAGUUUCCGCCUGCCAAAUCCACUCACAAGGCUUUGGUUGGCCCGAGGCUAUAGCAGAAAGGCUUGCCCAAGAUGCCAUGCAGUGGGACUGAACACGGAACCAUGUGGUUGGUUAGCAAGCUACUUACCACACAGCCACUCCUGUGCCUAUAUAUAUAUAUAUAAAGAAGGGGCCCCCCCUUCUCUACAUCUUUAUGUAUGUGUAUAUAUAUAUAUAUUUGUAGGUUGUUUGCUUUAAUAUUAUAAUCCUUUCUAAUACAGGUACAAGGCUUGAAAUUUGGGAAACGGUACUAGUUGAAAGGGUACAUUGACUCCAGUGUUUUACCGGUACUUAAUUUAUCCUUUCCUACUCUAGGCACAAGGCCCGAAAUUUUGGGGGAGGGGGCCAGUUGAUUUAAUCAGCUCCAGUAUGCAGCUGGUACAUAAUUUAUUGACCCCAAAAUGAUAAAAGGCAAAGUUGCUGUCAGCAGAAUUUGAACUCAGAACAUAGCGACAGGUGAAAUACUGUUAAGCAUUUCACCAAGUGUGCUAAUGGUUCUGCCAGCUCUCCUUUUUUUGUUGUUAUAACAAAAACUAUUUUAUAUUACAUUGAAGGAUUACUCAAAACAUUUAGUAGAGUAUAAAUUUAUUGUUCUUAUACAUGGGGGUGGCCAUAUUUUUGCCAAUUAAACACAUACGCUAUAAUGAAUGUGUUUAAUUGGCAACACACAACUGAAGGACUUCUUCGUACUUUUGCUAGAAUAUAUAUUUAUGAUUCUUUAAUGAGAGUAGUGUUGAUAGUGACUUCAAAGUUUCAACCAGCAAAGCUAUCACUAAUGAUGACUGAGCUAGCCAAAACUUUCGAGUCAGCACCAAUAUUAUUCUUGUCAAAGAAUAAAAUAGUGUAUAUACAUACAUACAACCAUACACACACACACACACACACACACACACACACACAUACAUACAUAUAUAUGUACAGACAUAUAUAUAUAUAUGCAAAUAUAUAUAUACAAAUAUAUAUAUAUACAAAUAUAUAUAUGUGUGUGUGUAUGUAUAUAUGCAUAUAUGAACAUAUGUAUGCAUAGAUGUAUGCAAAUAUGUAUGUAUAUAUGUAUACACAUAUAUAUAUAUGUGUGUAUGUGUGUGUAUGUGAGAGUGUAUAAACUGUAUAUAAACUGUAUAUUGGUUUGUAUCGUUAAUGACUUGUGGAAAAACAAUAAAAUAUUUACUAAUUGUGGAGCUUUUUCCAUUAAUAGAGUAAAAGCUAUUGAUUUGACUGGGACAGACACACACCCACACCACACACACAUAUAAGCAUAACCUAUAUAUAUAUAUCAUCAUCAUCAUCAUCAUCGUUUAUAUAUAUACACACACACACACACACAUAUAUAUAUAUAUAUAUAUAUACACACACAUAUAUAUACACACUUCAAGUAAGCACAUAAAUGCAAAACACAGUAGAAAAAAAGAUAGUACUCAAUACCUAAGGCAGAGUGAUAGGUUUUCAUUUUAAAGCUGCAAAAUUUUUACAAAACUCUUACUCAGAGCUUCAUAUCGAUGUUUGUUGUACAGUUCAAUUCAUCGACAAAUGGAACGUGAAAUUCAGAGCAAGAGUUUGCAAAAAUUUUGCAGCUUUAAUAAAAGUGUAUGUGUGUGUGUGUGUGUGUGUGUGUGUGUGGAAUCCUGACUCUGCAUAUGGGAAGGCAUAUGGCAAAGACACAGGAGCAAUUCAGACUCAGAUCAUAUACGAAAUAGACUCCGAAAGGAUGAAAGGCAAAGUCGACCUCGGUGGAAUUUGAACUCAGAACAUAACAACAGACGAAAUACCUAUUUCUUUAUUACCCACAAGGGUCUAAACACAGAGGGGACAAACAAGGACAGACAUAGGUAUUAAGUCGAUUACAUCGACCCCAGUGCCUAACUGGUACUUAAUUUAUCGACCCUGAAAGGAUGAAAGGCAAAGUCGACCUCGGCGGAAUUUGAACUCAGAACGUAACAACAGACAAAAUACUGCUAAGCAUUUCACCCGGCGUGCUAACGACUCUGCCAGCUCGCCACCUUUAAUGAAUGCCUUUAAGACCUGCCAAAAGUUAGAGACAAGAUCAAGUAAAGACGGAUGCGACUGUCGGAUCACUGUGUGUUCUUAAACAAACACCGUUAUAUGAUGACCUGCACACUAAUUGCUUUCAUGUGGAAUCCUCUUCAUGGCGAAGUAAGAAGAGGAAAACAUCAUCACAUUUAUAUUGGCAACUCGAUUGCAGAACCUGGUCUGGAAUGUAUCCAGGACCUCAGAGCAGUGAUGAUAGACCAAGAAGUGUGGUAGGUAGACUUUGUUGCUGUGGCCUGGGUUGGAACUUGGUCAUAAGAAUAAUAAUAAUUGACAGUUUAUUCUCUGCUCAUCUGCUCUGCAUCUGGUGGCAUUGAUCAUUGAUUCAAUAAGAUUUGUUUGCUGAGAAAGUUCACAUCCAACAUGUUGCAUCUGAGGGAUGAAAUAAGACCCAUCAAGGCCCCAAGCUCUUAAAAGAUUUUGGUGCCCCCAUAAAAGAUUAUGUAAUUCAAAAUAUAAACAAUAACAAACCAUAGAAUAAAUUUUCAUUUUUCAAAAUGAAACAAAACAUUAGGAGGGAAAAUAAUGUUUUAUUUUUGUCUACUUCCACUUUAUUUAUAUUUGAAAAGUUUCCUCCUACUUUUUUGAAUUGCAAAAUCUUUGAUCGGAUCCUCAAAAUUUAUCUUAGGUAACUCACUUGCAUUUAUACUUAGUAGAGAUAAACUUUUCUACUCUAGGCACAAGGUCCAAAGUUUGCAGGGAGGGGCCAGCUGAUUAUAUUGACCCCAGUAUGCAAAUGGUACUUAAUUUAUUGACCCCAAAAGGAUGAAAGGCAAAGUCAACCUCGAUGGAAUUUGAACUCAGAACGUAAAGACAGACGAAAUACUGCUAAGCAUUUUGCCCAGUGUGCUAACAUUUCUUUGAGCUUGCUGCCUUACUUAGUAGAGAUAAAGGCAUCCUGAAUAUUAUUUUAGCAAGUUUAAAGUGAUUUCGUUUGUACUGUAAACCUUUUACCAAUUCUGUGGUGCCCCCCUCCUUUCCUUGAUGCCCUAAGCACACACUUCUUUUGCUUAAUGGUUAAUCCAGCACCGUUGCAAGACAAAACAACCACUUGACUGUAAGGAUGGCCACAAGUGUAGUUGAGACUUCCUUUAAUGCCCCAUCCAUUGAAAUCAGUGACCUAUUGUUAGGAGACAAUAUUAUCGGUUCAACAUGUGUUUACCAAACUCUUCAAUUGUGUUCUUAAACAAACACCGUUAUAUGAUGACCUGCACACUAAUUGCUUUCAUGUAUACACUAUACACUGUGCAAAUGCAUACAUACACACACACACGCAUGCACACACACACACACACACACACACAUGCGCGCACGCAUUUACCAAUACACCUAUGCAAACAGUCUGCCAAGACUCUUUGUUUGAAACAGAGUAGUGUGUUAUGAGUCUUUUAUCAAUAAGGUGUGUAUGUAUGUAUGUAUGAAUAUGAAUAUGAAUAUAUGUUUAUAUAUGUGUAUGCAUGCAUAUACAACUAUAUAUACACAUACACACACACACAUGCACAUACAUUAUAUAUAUGUAUAUGCAUAUAUAUAACAUGAAUAUAUGUUUAUAUAUGUGUAUGUAUGCAUGUACAACUAUAUAUACACAUAUACACACACAUGCACGUACACACAUUAUAUAUAUGUAUAUGCAUAUAUAUAACAUAUGAAUAUAUGUUUAUAUAUGUGUAUGUAUGCAUAUACAACUAUAUAUACACAUAUACACACACAUAUGCACGUACACUCAUUAUAUAUAUGUAUAUGCGUGUGUAUAUACAUAUCUAUAUGUAUACACCCAUAUUUACUUUAUCUUCACUGACACACAUAGCAUUACCAUCAUCAUUAAAUAUUUAUAUAUAUGAUAUGUAUGUAUAUUAUGUAUUUCUUUACUACCCACAAGGGGCCAAACAAGGACAGACAAAGGGAUAAAGUCGAUUACAUCGACCCCAGUGCGUAACUGGUACUUAAUUUAUCGACCCUGAAAGGAUGAAAGGCAAAGUCGACCCUGAAAGGAUGAAAGGCAAAGUCGACCUCGGCGGAAUUUGAACUCAGAACGUAAUGACAGACGAAAUACCGGUAAGCAUUUCGCCCGGCGUGCUAUAUGUGUGUGUGUGUGUAUAUGUGAGGGCACAUGGCUUUGUGGUUGGGGUGUCACAUUUAUGAUUGCUAGAUCGUGGUUUCAAUUCCUAGACCAGGUGGCGUGUUGUGUUCUUAAGCAAAACUCUUCAUUUCCCAUCUCAUAUUGCUUUACGGUCAUUUUGAUAGCCGAUGUGUGGUUCACCAUGCACCUGUUCAGAAAAUGUCAAUUCGAUGGAGGCAGCAAGCUAAUGUACAUCACGUACAUUUGAUCACUAGAAACAAAUCAUUUGUGCAGAUCGUUUGACAAAAGCUGAAGGACGCUUGUAUGUUGUCUUUGAUGGCAGAGUCCAUCAUAUAUAUAUAAUUUUGUCUCAAAGCCGUAGGGCGCCUGUGUCAUCCAUGUUUUUAACCGUUACUGUCUCCAAAAAAGAUUUUUCGUUUCAUGUUCGUCUCUGUUGCGUUUCAUUCUUUCCUUCUGUGGCUGGCUGAUUCAGAGCGGAUCUCAGAAUUAAACAGCCGAAAUCUGCAAUGACGGAUCAGUUUCUGACUGAAGAAUGAAGGCUUUGAAUGACCCGUUUGUCUUUUUGUUCGUCCCUUCAUGUAUUUCACGUUAUUUAUUUAUGUAAAGGUUUAUUAUAUAUAUAUAUAUAUAUAAAGUUAAUCCAAACAUGAAAGCACAAAAAAAACACAACAACGCGAGGACGGGGAACGAAUAUAAUAUUAUUGGACGCUCAGGAAAGAAGGAAAGAAGGAGGGUUUAACGUUUCGAGCGGAGCUCUUCGUCAGAAACAUAGGGGAAGGAAAGAUCCAGAGAAAGGAAGACAGAGGAAAAAAAAUCGCCAAUGGUACACACGCGGUCAUAUAUAUAUAUAUAUAUAUAUAUAUAUAUAUAUAAUUAUAAUUUAGGGCAUAGAAAAUUUUGUAGCCUAUAUGCUGAAAAUAGAUGCUAAAUCAUCUCACCACUUGAAAAAUCACAAAAUUAGACAUGUGCUGAAAUUGUCGGGCCACUCACACAAUUAAAAAAAAAUUGUAUCCAUAAUUAUUACUAUUAUUAUUAUUAUUAUUAUUAUUAUUAUUAUUAUUAUUAUUAUUAUUAUUACCAUUAUUAUUAUUAUUAUCCUUAUUAUCAUUAUUAUUAUUAUUAUUAUCAUUAUUACCAUUAUUAUUAUUAUUAUCCUUAUUAUUAUCAUUAUUAUUAUCAUUAUUACCAUUAUUAUUAUUAUCCUUAUUAUUAUUAUUAUCAUUAUCAUUAUCAUUAUUAUUAUUAUAAUUAUUAUUAUUAUUGUUAUUAUUAAAUGAUAGCAUUGUCGUUACGGUUGGGCCCCCUUAGUCUCCUGGCAACCAAUAUUUUCAGAUCCAGUUAGACACUGUGUAUAUGUAUAUAAACACACACACAUAUACAUAUCAUUAUGAAGGUGCAUGGCUCGGUGGUUAGAGUGUCGAGCUUACCAUGAGGUUGUGAGUUUGAAUCCCGGACUGGGCUGCAUGUUAUGUUCUUGAGCAAGACACUUUAUUUCACGUUGCUCCAGUUCACUCAGCUGUAGAAAUUGAGUUGCGACACCACAGGUGCCAAGCUGUAUCGGCCCCUUGCCUUUCCCUUGGAUAACAUCAGUGGCAUGGAGAGGGGGAGGCCGGUAUGCAUGGGUGACUGUUGGUCUUCCAUAAACAACUUUGCUUGGACUUGUGCCUGGGAGAGUAACUUUCUAGGUGCAAUCCCAUGGUCAUCAUUUAAUGUGUGUUUUCCAUGCUGGCAUGAGUUGCAUGGAUGCACCAGAGCUGGCAAGCCAGAGAGCUGUACCAGAGUCCAUCCAUUUGUCUGUUUUGGUAUGGCUGUUCUUCCUACUGGCAGCCACUUGACAGAGUGUGCUGGGGGGGGGGGCUUUACUUAUGUGGAACCAGCACAGGUGCUUUUAUAUGUGGUUUCAGCACCAGUGGUGUCAGCAAGUACAGGGAUUCCCCGAGUUCAACUUCCGCGAAAUUCGACUUGCGUGAGCCAACUUUUGACACUGAGUGUUCAGGUUGCGCGAGUUGUAUUCUCGACUUGCGCUUGUUGUAAAAAUAUUUAUUAUCCAUGGUUGCAUUGCCUUGUCUGUUAUCUUGUUAUCUAUCCAUCAUUUCAAAUAUACAUAAAGUAAAAAUAAUUGUGCUUGAGUAAUUUCUAUUUUCUGUUUAUAAUCAUUAAACAAUUUGUAUCAUUUUUUGUAAUUUGUAUUCGUACAAAGCAGUCACCAAUAAAAGUUUUUUGGUUUCAAAUAGAAAGAAAGUUCAUUCAAUACUUUCUCCAAGUGUUUCUUUAAUAUAACAAUAUUUAGCAGUUAUCCCAGAAAAUAUUUAUAGAAAACAAUAUCUGGUACUCGACUUGCGCAAAUUUCGAAUUGCGCGUCCCCCAAUUACUCGCGCAAGUCGAGGAAUCCCUGUAGUUUACAAUAUAAAGAACUCUCAAUGGAGAGAAGGAGUGGAACUGAGGAAAGUGGAUGUGUACCAGGGGAAAUAACACAAAUUAGUCAAAACAUAUACACACAUACAUAUGUAUGUAUGAGCAUGUGUGUACGUGUAUACAUAUAUAUAUACAAAAUGGGACAAGAACGCAAAACACUAGGUGAUACAAAAAGGGACAACAAAACAUCCAGAUAGACGAUAAACAAAAACAAGGAUGGGUCAUUCGAAGUUUUCAUUCCUCAGUCAAAUACCAUAUAUAUAUAUAUAUCAUCAUCAUCAUCAUCAUCAUUGUUUAACGUUUGUUUCCAUGUUAGCCUGGGUUGGAUGGUUUGACAGAAGCUGACCAGCCAAAGGGCUAUUCUGGCACCGUGUUUAUUUUGGUAAGAUUACUACAGCUGGAUGCACUUACGUAUAUAUAUAUAUUCUCUUUUAUUAUCUUUUACGUGUUUCAGUCAUUUGACUGUGGCCAUGCUGGAGCACCGCCUUUAAUCGAGCAACUCGACUCCGGGACUUAUUCUUUUGUAAGCCCAGUACUUAUUCUAUCGGUCUCUUUUGCCGAACCGCUAAGUAACGGGGACAUAAACACACCAGCAUCGGUUGUCAAGCAAUGCUAGGGGGACAAACACACACACACACAUAUAUAUAUAUACAUAUAUACGACGGGCUUCUUUCAGUUUCCAUCUACCAAAUCCACUCACAAGGCUUCGGUCGGCCCGAGGUUAUAGUAGAAGACACUUGCCCAAGGUGCCACGCAGUGGGACUGAACCCGGAACCAUGUGGUUGGUAAACAAGCUACUUACCACACAGUCACUCCUGCGCAGGGACAGUUUAGGAAAAAAACAAAAGAUGAAGACAGGUGGUGUACAAAAGAAACAGAUGUAUUAGUAUAACGCUCAGGAAUAGAAAAAGUCUUUUACGUUUCAAGCCUAUGCUCUUCUACAGAAAGGGACUCAGAAAAAACAAGGAGAGAGAAAAAAUGUGUGUAGUGGCUACCGAGCUAUCAUAGCGACUGUAUAUGUAUAUAAACAUAUCUAUCUAUCUAUCUAUCUAUCUAUCUAUCUAUCUAUCUAUCUAUCUAUCUAUCUAUCUAUCUAUCUAUCUAUCUAUCUAUCUAUCUAUAAUUAGGAAUUAAAGUAAAAAUGAUUUGUUUAAGUGGUCAAACAUGUUUCAAAGAAGAUAGGUAAACAAAUUGCUGUUGAAGUUUUUGAUAAUGAUGCUGAUGAUGGUGGGAGUGAUGAUGUCGAAGAAGGUGAUGAAGUCAGUGAUGAUGAUGAUGAUGAUGAUGAUGAUGCUAGUUGGCUGUGAUGAAGAUGAUGACAAUGAUGGUGAUGAUCUUGGCCAUGAUGCAGAUGAUGGUAAAUAGAAAGCUUAAUGUGGUGUUAAUUAUAUCGAUGACUAACGCGAUGGUGCUGGUGAUGGCGGCGGCAAUGAUGAUGAUGCUGAUACGAUGGUGAUAUGAUGACACAAGUCCAUUAUCCUGUGUCCCGAAGGUGUGGUGUGGAGGUCUCAGCUAAUAUAACUGAUAUAUAUAUAUAUAUAUAUAUACAUCAUCGUCAUUGUUUUGUGUCUGUCUGGCAUAUGAUAUGUAAGCAUCAUCAUCAUCAUCAUCAUCAUCAUCGUUUAACGUCCAUUCUCCAUGCUAGCAUGGGUGUGUGUGUAUAUAUACACACACGUAUAUAUGCAUAUAUCUAUAUAUAUACAUACAUAGGUAUAUAUUAAGACACAUAUAUGUGUGUGUGUAUAUAUAUAUAUAGAUAUAUAUAUAUGUUUAUAUACAAUAUAUAUAAACAUAUAUAUAUAUAUAUAUAUGUAUGUGUAUAUACAUAUGCAUAUAUACAUAUAUAUACAUAUACACAUAUAUAUAUAUAUAUAUAUAUAUUUAUAUUUAUAUAUAUAUAUAUAUAUAUAUAUAUAUAUACAUGUAUGUAUGUAUACACACACACUCAUACAUGCCCGCGCAUGUAUUAAUGUAUAUUAUAUUGUGUGAUAUGUACGGAUGGUGAUGAGAUUUGCAUGAAAAAAGGGGUUGGAUAUAAAAGAGGAUGGGCCAACAAGAGAGUAAAUCCCAGAUGGACAAACUGGCAAAGAAGGAUAUCAUAAAAGUGAGCCUCACAAAAGAAAACGAUGUUUGGCAUCAUGCAGUGCCAAAGAUGUGUUAAUAUGGUGGAGGUGGGUGGUGGCAGCAGCUGGAAUCCUCUCAGCCUCAGUUUUCACUCUCUUGCCAUUUCACUGCCUUCUCCACAACUUCUCUUUUACUGACCCCUCUCUUGAUGGCUCCACCAUUUCUUCCUCCACACCCUCUUGCUUUUGUCUCUUUCUAUGAUGCACCAUCAUACCAUCGCCCUCUUGCAUCUGUUCAUAUACAUUCAUAUAGUGAGAGAUAGCAUUAGAUCUCCCAAAUAUUCCACUCUGACUACCCUAUUCAUAUAUGUAUAUGUAUGUAUGUAUCUAUGUAUGUAUAUACAUACAUACAUACAUACAUACAUACACAUAUACAUAUAUUCUUUUAGUCUUUUACUCAUUUACCAAACCACUAAGUUACGGGGACAUAAACACACCAGCAUUGGUUGUCAAGCGACGUAGAGGGGACAAACACAGACACACAAACCUAUACACACACAUACAUAUAUAUAUAUAUAUAUACAAAUAUACAAUAGGCUUCUUUCAGUUUCUGUCUACCAAGUCCAUUCACAAGAAUUUGGUUGACCUGACGCUAUAGUUGAAGAUAACCAUGUGGUUGGUAAGCAGGCUACUUACCACAAAGCCACUCCUAUAUAUAUAUAUAUAUAUAUGUAUGUAUGUAUGUAUGUAUGUAUAUAUAUGUACAUAUAAAUGUAAGAUCCAGUGAUUGAAGAGUAAGAAGAAAGUUAGCUUCGAGCAAUCCUUAGCAAAUAUUAAAAAACCCAGGGUUGCCGAUUGUGCGCAAAAGAAUACAAGUGUUACUGCAGGCAGCACUGGCAUCGACCACGCUAGAACUGUACUUUAUAUAUAUAUAUAUAUAUAUAUACACAUACAUAUACAUACAUACAUACAUACAUUCAUAUAUAUAUGUACAUACACAUUAAUAUACAUAUACAUACAUACAUACAUACAUACAUACAUAAAUAUAUAUAUACAAACAUAAAUGCAUACAUAUAUAUAUCGUAACAGAAAAGAGGAAUUUUGAUUAUCCCCACGUUGUGAGUUGUAAUGUAUACAAGAAAUUAUAUAUAUAUAUAUAUAUCAUCAUCAUCAUCAUCAUCGUUUAACGUCCGUUCUCCAUGCUAGCAUGUAAUAUAUAUAUAUAUAUAUAUAUAUAUAUAUGCAUAUAUAUAUAUACAUACAAAUAUCUUUUAAGUUCGUUUAUGGGGAAACAUUUUUGAAUAUGGAUAUAAAAGCUUCUAUUUCAUUAUGUUGGCUGCAGCCUAAUAACACCAGUGGGGGUUGCACCGAGCUAUGUCAGUAUAAUGUAGCUCAGAUAUAGUAACAAUAAUAAUAAUAACAAUAAUAAUGAUAAUCUAUGGAUGGCAUUUAUAAAUAUUCUAAUAUUUAUGAAUUCCAUACAUAGAUUGUUAUUAUUAUUAUUAUACAUCUUUCUCUCUCUCUCUCUCUCCAUAUAUAUAUAUAUAUAUAUAUAUAUAUAUAUAUAUAUAUAUAUAUAUAUAUAUAUAUAUAUAUAUAUAUAUACACCUUCGAAACGUAGAGUAGAUGGAACCAUGGCGACUGAAGAAGGGGUUUUUUCCUUGUGUUAAUCGUCCUGUACUCUAUUUUUUUGUUGUUUAAAAAAAUGUCCAGUUCCUUGGGUUUGUGUCUAUGUUUUCGUUUCUCUUUGUGUUCGACGUCCCUUUGGUGUCCUGUACUCAUAUAUGCGUGUAUAUGUACAUGUAGAGGUAGGUACGUACAUAUAUGUUUAUAUAUAUGCAUAUGUUUUAUUUAUUAAUAUAUAUAUAUAUAUAUAUAUAUAUAUAUAUAUAUAUAAAACUAACAAUAGAGUAAUAGGAAAUUAUUAUUACCAGUGGCCUAGUACAAAAACGAAUUAGUCAUUAGACUAUAUAUUAUUCACAUAGAAAUACAACAAGAGGCUUCCUAUAUAUAUAUAUAUAUUUAUUGUGGAGGCGCAAUGGCCCAGUGGUUAGGGCAGCGGACUCGCGGUCGUAGGAUCGCGGUUUCGAUUCCCAGACCGGGCGUUGUGAGUGUUUAUUGAGCGAAAACACCUAAAGCUCCACGAGGCUCUGGCAGGGGAUGGUGGUGAUCCCUGCUGUACUCUUUCACCACAACUUUCUCUCACUCUCACUCUUACUUCCUGUUUCUGUUGUACCUGUAUUUCAAAGGGCCGGCCUUGUCACUCUCUGUGUCACGCUGAAUAUCCCUGAGAAUUACAUUAAGGGUACACGUGUCUGUGGAGUGCUCAGCCACUUACACGUUAAUUUCACGAGCAGGCUGUUCCGUUGAUUCGGAUCAACCGGAACCCUUGUCGUCGGAACCGACGGAGUGCUUCCAUUCCAUAUAUAUUUAUAUAUAUAUUUAUCAAAAGAAAAACAGGAUGCAAAGGAUUUAGAGGUACAUAUGUUUCUGAAACAUAUGUACCGCUAAAUUCUUUUGCAUCCUGUUUUUCUUUUGAUACAUAUACCCUAUCACCUACACCACUAACUGGCAUAUACAGGUGCUUACUGUUAUCAAGUAUUCACCCUGAAUUUUUUGUGUAUAUAUAUAUAUAAAUUUCUUUACUACCCACAAGUGGCUAAACACAGAGAGGACAGACAAAUGGAUUAAGUCGAUUAUAUCGACCCCAGUGCGUAACUGGUACUUAAUUUAUCGACCCCGAAAGGAUGAAAGACAAAGUCGACCUCGGCGGAAUUUGAACUCAGAACGUAACGGCAGACGAAAUACGGCUACGCAUUUCGGCCGGCGUGCUAACGAUUCUGCCAGCUCGCCGCCUGUGUAUAUAUAUAUAUAUACACAUGUGUGUAAGUGUGUAGGAAUGGAUGGGCUCAGUGUGUGUGACGAUUGUACGGUUAUUCAGGUUUUGGUCCUUUGUGGUAAUCGCAUAAAUCUACCCUGCCCUUGCUUUAGCAAUCGCAUGAGGUUCUAUGCAGUCUGGAGAGGACUAUUAUAACGUAAUAUAAAGACCAACAUCGAUAAAGAUUGAGACAAAAGCAGAAGGGCUUGAACUUGUUAUUCCUUUAUUACAUCUGUUUACGUCUGCUUACGUUUCAGUAUUUGGUAAUAAAUGAUGUCAUACCAUAAAUGCGAUCUAUAGAUGCAACAUGCGCAGAUGCAGCAUACAUAAACAAGAUCAUAUAUAUAUAUAUAUAUAUAUAUAUAUAUAUCUCACCGGGACCGACCAGGCUAUCAGAUGUUGCUACACAUCGCUGAUCACAAUGCGCCUCGCAUUGUUUUUAGCCUUCAAGUGAUGCCACCCCACUGGCUAAGUGAGCAGGCCAACAGAAGAAAGAUUGAGAGAAAGUUGUGGUGAAAGAGUACAGCAGGGAUCGCCACCGCCCCCUGCUGGAGCCUCACGGAGCUUUAGGUAAUAAUAAACACUCACAACGCCCGGUCUGGGAAUCGAAACCGCGAUCCUACAACCGCGAGUCCGCUGCCCUAACCACUAUAUAUAUAUUCUUUGAUUCUUUUAUUCUUUUACUUGCUUCAGUCAUUUGAUUGUGGCCAUGCUGGAGCAUCGCCUUCAGUCAAGCAAAUCGACCCCAGGAUUUAUUUUUCGUAAGCCUAGUACUUAUUCUAUUGGUCCCUUUUGCUGAAUCGCUAAUGUUACGGGGACAUAAACACAUCAGCAUCUGUUGUCAAGCGAUGUUGGGGUGACAAACACAAACAGACAAACAUAUAUAUAUACGACAGGCUUCUUUCAGUUUCUGUCUACCAAAUCAAGUCACAAGGCUUUUGCUACCAAAAAAUAUAACAACUCUCUGAACUUCUGCUAUCCUAUUCUUAUUCUAGCAACUAUACUUUUGGAACAUCCUCUUCCACCUGAAUAACAAAAACUAUCUAUUACAUCUAGGGUUAUUUAAAAAGAAAUCAGUACUUGGGGUUGAUUUGUUCAACUAUAAUUCUUCAAGGUUGUGCCCCAGCAUGGCCACAGUCUAAUGAUGCAGUGCUUUUCAAACUUUUUGCUGGAAACAUUCCACUGGCUCGAGGAACCCCUGUGCAAUAAUUUAAUAGUCUUAUGCGCACAUAUCUGCACAGGAGACUUAAAAAUUACUGCCGAUUUUAGCAGUUUUGUAACUUCUUGCGGAACCCCUGGACUGUACUGGCAGAACCCUAAGGUUCCGCGGAACCCUGGUUGAAAACGGCGAGCUGGCAGAAACGUUGGCACGCCGGGCGAAAUGCUUAGCGGUAAUUCGGCUACCGUUACGUUCUGAGUUCAAAUUCUGCCGAGGUCGACUUUGCCUUUCAUCCUUUCGGGGUCGAGUAAAUAAGUACCAGUUUCUCACUGGGGUCGAUAUAAUCGACUUAAUCCCUUUGUCUGUCCUUGUUUGUCCCCUCUGUGUUUAGCCCCUUGUGGGUAGUAAAGAAAUAGGAACCCUGGUUGAAAACCACUGGUCUAAUGAUUGAAACAAGUAAAAAACAGGAGAUAAAAGAUAAAGGUAACAGAUUUUAAAUUACAUAAGACAUAUUAGGUAUGGAUUGUGUCUGCCAAAGUAGGAGGCAUAAUGAUACAAUGUGACCCACCACCACAACAAAACUGCCGACAUAGCGUAAACAAUAUUUCAUAAGUUUGUGCUAACAGACUGUGAUAAUUUGGCUUGUUUUCAAUAUUUUAUUAUUAGAAAACAAUUAUUGUGCUUAAUGGACUUAUGCUUAUCCAGCUUCCUAGCUAACAACUCACGAUAUUCCAUCCGUAAUAAAAAUAAACUGAAGUGCGUCUUAUACACUAAUAGAUGUGGUAUUUCCCGUGUCUUUAGCGAUUAUUAUACCUGUGCUUCUUCUACAUACAAACUCUGCUUUCUCUGUUAACCUCCGUGUGAUUCCACUGCACCUCUUGCUUGUCUGUAGCUUGCCCUAGCUACACUACCAAAUUUGUGAAGGCACAUGGCCUAGUGGUUAGAGCAGUGGACUCGUGGUCGAGGGAUCGAGGGUUCGAAUUUCAAACCGGGCGAUGUGUGUGUUUAUGAGCGAAACACCUAAGCUCCAUGCGGCUCCGGCAGAAGGUAAUGGCGAACUUCUGCUGACUCUUUCGCCUCAACUUUCUCUCACUCUGUCCUCCUGCAUCCUGCAGUUCACCCACGACGGACCGGUGUCCUGUCCAGGUGGGGAACCUAUAUGCCAAGGAAACUGGGAAACUGGCCCUUAUGAGUCAGGCAUGGCUCGAGAAGGAACAAACAAACAAACACUACCAAAUUCCCACCUAUACUUUUUCUACAUAUCACUAGUAAGGCCCUUUACCUGAUGGGAGUAGAAUUCUGUUGGACUUUGGUUUUUGCUAUGUUAACUUUAAGGUCCUUUGGCUCCAGGGUUUGCUUCUACUUAUGGAAUUUCUUUGCUUAUUCUAUUACAGAUUUUGCUUUGAAAAUG
rnacentral:lncRNA from 1 species